rnacentral:misc_RNA from 1 species
CUUCUUUCUUAUCUCCUGCUUCUUUCUAUCUCUCUCUUCCAUCUCUUGCUUUCUAUCAAACCAGACUUUAUAUAGGAAUACCCACAAGUCAUUUGCUUGUUUUUCUCUUGCUUAUCUUCUGAUUGGAAGCUCAAGUUUAUGCCUUUACGGUUACUUGUUAGUCGUUAGAGAAACGUACGGAGUAUUGGAAGAAAGGUAAAACAUUACGUUUUUGUGGGUUGAAGUGGUUAUCUUUGGUGCUCCCUAUGGGAAACUGUUUAGAUUCUUCUGCAGCUAAAGUUGAUGUUACGCAAGGUUCACAUACUCCUUCUGGAGCCUCAAGAGUUUCCAGCAAAACCAGCCGUUCUUCAGUUCCUUCUACUCUGACCAUCCCAUCUUACAGUGGAACGAGCAAUUUUGAAUGUCUUCCUACUCCAAGGACUGAAGGUGAAAUAUUGUCAUCCCCAAAUUUAAAGGCCUUCACAUUCAAUGAACUAAAGAAUGCCUUUAAAUUUGGGGAUGACAAUAUUUC